rnacentral:rRNA from 1 species
GCGGUAGAGGAGCGUUCUGUAAGCCUGUGAAGGUGAGUUGAGAAGCUUGCUGGAGGUAUCAGAAGUGCGAAUGCUGACAUGAGUAACGACAAUGGGUGUGAAAAACACCCACGCCGAAAGACCAAGGGUUCCUGCGCAACGUUAAUCGACGCAGGGUUAGUCGGUUCCUAAGGCGAGGCUGAAAAGCGUAGUCGAUGGGAAACAGGUUAAUAUUCCUGUACUUCUGGUUACUGCGAUGGAGGGACGGAGAAGGCUAGGCCAGCUUGGCGUUGGUUGUCCAAGUUUAAGGUGGUAGGCUGAAAUCUUAGGUAAAUCCGGGGUUUCAAGGCCGAGAGCUGAUGACGAGUCGUCUUUUAGAUGACGAAGUGGUUGAUGCCAUGCUUCCAAGAAAAGCUUCUAAGCUUCAGGUAACCAGGAACCGUACCCCAAACCGACACAGGUGGUCGGGUAGAGAAUACCAAGGCGCUUGAGAGAACUCGGGUGAAGGAACUAGGCAAAAUGGCACCGUAACUUCGGGAGAAGGUGCGCCGGCUAGGGUGAAGGAUUUACUCCGUAAGCUCUGGCUGGUCGAAGAUACCAGGCCGCUGCGACUGUUUAUUAAAAACACAGCACUCUGCAAACACGAAAGUGGACGUAUAGGGUGUGACGCCUGCCCGGUGCCGGAAGGUUAAUUGAUGGGGUUAGCGCAAGCGAAGCUCUUGAUCGAAGCCCCGGUAAACGGCGGCCGUAACUAUAACGGUCCUAAGGUAGCGAAAUUCCUUGUCGGGUAAGUUCCGACCUGCACGAAUGGCGUAACGAUGGCGGCGCUGUCUCCACCCGAGACUCAGUGAAAUUGAAAUCGCUGUGAAGAUGCAGUGUAUCCGCGGCUAGACGGAAAGACCCCGUGAACCUUUACUGUAGCUUUGCACUGGACUUUGAGCCUGCUUGUGUAGGAUAGGUGGGAGGCUUUGAAGCGUGGACGCCAGUUCGCGUGGAGCCAUCCUUGAAAUACCACCCUGGCAUGCUUGAGGUUCUAACUCUGGUCCGUAAUCCGGAUCGAGGACAGUGUAUGGUGGGCAGUUUGACUGGGGCGGUCUCCUCCUAAAGAGUAACGGAGGAGUACGAAGGUGCGCUCAGACCGGUCGGAAAUCGGUCGCAGAGUAUAAAGGCAAAAGCGCGCUUGACUGCGAGACAGACACGUCGAGCAGGUACGAAAGUAGGUCUUAGUGAUCCGGUGGUUCUGUAUGGAAGGGCCAUCGCUCAACGGAUAAAAGGUACUCCGGGGAUAACAGGCUGAUACCGCCCAAGAGUUCAUAUCGACGGCGGUGUUUGGCACCUCGAUGUCGGCUCAUCACAUCCUGGGGCAA